CCCAGGGACAAAGGGGCUCCUUUCACUCCCAAGGAGCAGAGUGGGGGGGCCCAUGUCACUAGCCCACCUCUCUGGAAGACAAGGAGGUGCACAAUUCCAAGUACUGGGGAAGAAGCUCUGUGCUGUGGUGUGCUUAGAGCCCCGGGUUGCCUUACUUUAACUCACCGCCCCACCAGAGAACUUGUGGGCUGCACAUAAUGCAUAGUACACUUGUGGUUUCUAGCUUCUACACAACCCUUUGCUGCUACCAGAGUGACUUGCCCAUCAAUGGGGAUCUUCUGUGUGAUCCAGAGAUGCAUCACAUCCUUUGCUAGACUAAAAAUGGCUAUCUCCAACUUUCUUGAUUACAUUUGUGCCUGCAGCUCGCUGCCUGCGAGAUGAACUGGAAAGCGGUGAUACUGAUGAAGAUUAAACGAGCGGAGGGCGAAACCUGAGCUGAAUUUUUGGAGGAUAAUUAGUGACUCUGGUACUCCUGAGGAGAGUAUUGUAUUUUACUUUCUUCUAUUAUCUGUGCGUUACUGGGGGAAGGCUGGACAAUUCCCUCCUGCUCCUGCUCUAAUUAAAAGGUCUCUCUGGGUAAGGGUUGGAAUGUUAUGAAGGAGCAAUAAAUUAACCUGUGUGUGUUCUCUGCACUGAGCUCAAGGUGUAACAGUAAAUAAGUCUCUCUCUCUCUCUGUCUCUCUCUUGCAGAAAUUGGAAACCUUUAAGCACCUGCUGCUGCUGCCACAGUGAAGAAACUGUUGCUUUUUCCUAUUAUAAAUGCCAAUUUUUAGGGGCUUGCAACAGCCACUUUCCUUCACCAGAGGGGGAAGCUGAGUGCAACAGUUUUUUGCACCUUUAAAUCAGUUGAUGUUAUGGAAAAUGCUAAAGCACAGUUGGGUGACCUCAUCUUUGCUGAGGAUAUUGACCUGCUUAAUUCAACACCUGGUUGAGUAGACCCAGCUUCUGGCAGACACAGCAAAAUAAGCUGGUUUGUUUAUCAGCAUGGGGAAGGCAAAAUAUAUGGUUGUCAAUGUCUCCGAAGUUACCAUCAGUGCAGGUGGAGAAACUCCAGAAGAAGUUGCUCGUUUUACCUCUCUAGGGAGUGAGACAUACCGUGAUGGUGAUACUGUUCUACAUGUCGAGCAGCAACUAUCAAAAGAAGCUAACAACAUCCAUAAACUUGAAAAGAUUUGAAAAAAAAUAACAUAACUAGCACUGAGACAAACGUACACAGUGUUAAGAUGGGCAUCACGUCUGUCAUCCUUCAUGAAGCAGAGUCAGGGACAUUGAGACGAUCGACUCAUUCCAAAGUAAAUGCCUGCAGAAGCUUUUCAGAUUCUACUGGAAAGAAUCUCUGACAGUAUCAGAAAUUCUAAAGAGAGCAAACCAGCCUAAAGUAUCGAACCCGGCAAGGAUUCCCUUUAAGGAUGCCACCAUGUUCUUAUGUUCACCAACAGGACUUACACAUCAAGUGAUAAUGGACUCCAUCUGGGCAGAGAAAAAGAGGGCAACCUAGAGAAACCUGACACAGAAUAGCAGAGAAAACAAGCUAAAUGUGUCAACAUAGCUCUCAGAAGCUUGAACAGACCAGCACCGGACUGAAAGACAGGGUGGAGACCGGUGGCCACCCUAAGCACCGGAGGGCACAGAAGGGUAAAGCCGCUGGUUCCGAAUGCUGCAUGCAGCGCUGCUCUGCGUUCAGAGGUCACCCAGAUGGAUUGUUGGACAAGGGCAAGGGCAAGGUUUAAAGCGAGACACACCUCUUCUUCUGAAAACAGGCUGCCUUGCUUCCUUUCUCUCGCCUUCAAGUGCUGCCGCUGGAGCGCCUUCACAGAGCUGUGCACAUCAAAGGAACAACUCGAUGGAAAGUUGACAAUAAGUUGUGCACCAGAUACACGAUGUUCUACCCAGCUGAGUUGUGGAUUGCACGUCUUCAGCUGCAGCAGUCUUCCUCAGCAUGGGCUGGCCACUCUUGUCCAAUACGGGGAUGCUGAGCAUUUUUAAAGCAUUCAAAAGAAACCCUUGAUGAUAAAAUCUACUGUUACUGAAAGGAACAAGAUGCAUGCAAAUCCCCAGUUCAUUAUCCCCUGUAACCUCUUCUCUCAAAGGCACUUUCUAUUCAUAAAAGAAGAUACAGAAGCUACUCGGAAGAGCUUAGAAUUUGAUGCACUAGGGCCAAUGGAAUGUCUUCCAAUGACAUACUGAGUUUUGGUCAGGUCCUAACUGGAAUCUCUCUGUUUACUUCAGUGGCAGAUGGCUCAGAUCCUGAAAGAACAGUUAUUUCUUCACGGCAUUAAAAUGUUCAGGGAACAGCUCAACAGUCUAUUUCGUCAUUGACAUUGAUCUCAAUUUCCCUGCUAUCAGCCCUAAGAGUAUCAACGCUUCCCAUCAACAUCGUUUUGCUGUGUACGUAAUUAGAAGAGUUACUUUGGCUCAGCACACCUCUCUCUCAGGUUCUGUCCCCCAAAGAUGCUACUCAAGGAUCUCAAGGAAAUGAUUCAGCAACAGAAUUUGAAAUGACUCCAAGACACAGAUCUUAUAAAGAAGUGAAGGAAAGCUACCACCGAGAUUCCGCUCAGCUCCAUCAGGCUGAUCCACUUCAAAUGCCACGGAUAUUUUUGAAAAUAAAGUUUGCACCAGCUCCAAUGCUCUUCCAUCAGGCUUGUCGCUUUCUCACUGCAUCAUCAGCACAUUGUUCAAAGUGUUCGGGGAGCCACGUGACGGCUCAGAAGAACAUACCUCUCCUCUCAAUGUUACUUCCACAAACUCAUGAAGCAGAGAAGAGCACACAGCAGAUCUCUAAGAAGUUAAGGGGUGGGUACGUGGUUUUAAAGCAUGCUGUAGGGUACAGGUAUAUUGUUGUACCUCUAAAACCUCUCCUCCUCAUUCCCCCCUCUCCAGCAGAAUCCAAGUUGGUGGAGGCAAAUAUACAUCGUCUCUCAUGGAUCCCAUGUCACUUAAUUCUGUGGAUAUAACCUAAUGAACAUCUCUGCAAGCAGGAAAAGAACAUGCCCCUACAUGUAGGCUGCACUGUACCAAAUAAUCAUCAUAAAUAAUUAGCACUUACAGUAUAUGGCUCUUUGCAUUCCCAGAUCACUACAGAACAUUACGGCUUGCUUCCCAGGUGCUGAAGUGUUGCAUUGUUAUAUAUAAUGUGAGGAGAAUUAAACACUCCAGAGCUGUACAGUUAUGAUCCAAUGACACACCUGCUAACUACUCUGAAUACUCACUGGUCAAUUUGAAGGUUUUUCAAAUAAUAAGCUAUGAGUAGCAACAUCCUGUUAAUAAUUACCAAGAAAAGUAGGAAAACAUCACAAAGCAGAGCAUCCAUCCAAUUCCUGUGGUUAGGUGG